UACGUAGGGUGCGAGCGUUGUCCGGAUUUAUUGGGCGUAAAGAGCUUGUAGGCGGCUCGUCGCGUCGGGUGUGAAAACUUGCGGCUUAACCGCAAGCCUGCACCCGAUACGGGCGGGCUAGAGUUCGGCAGGGGAGACUGGAAUUCCUGGUGUAGCGGUGGAAUGCGCAGAUAUCAGGAGGAACACCGGUGGCGAAGGCGGGUCUCUGGGCCGAAACUGACGCUGAGGAGCGAAAGCGUGGGGAGCAAACAGG
rnacentral:rRNA from 1 species